rnacentral:rRNA from 1 species
UACGUAGGGGGCUAGCGUUGUCCGGAAUCAUUGGGCGUAAAGCGCGCGUAGGCGGCCCGGUAAGUCCGCUGUAAAAGUCCAGGGCUCAACCCUGGAAAGCCGGUGGAUACUGUCGGGCUCGAGUCCGGAAGAGGCGAGUGGAAUUCCUGGUGUAGCGGUGGAAUGCGCAGAUAUCGGGAGGAACACCUAUGGCGAAGGCAGCUCGCUGGGACGUUACUGACGCUGAGACGCGAAAGCGUGGGGAGCAAACAGG